AUGAAAAGGACAUUUAGUUGGGACUGGCUUACAGGUUCAGAGGAUCUGUCUAUUAUCAUCCAGACAGGAAGCAUGGCAGCAUCUAGGCAGGCACGGUACUGGAGAAGGGGCUGAGAGUUCUUCAUCUUGUUUCAAAAGCAAACAGGAGAAGACUAGCUCCCAUAUGGCUAGGAGGAGGGUCUCAAAGUCCACCCUUACAGUGACACCCUUCCUCCAACAAGGCCACACUUGCUAAUAGUACUAUUCCCUGGGCCAAGCAUAUUCAAACCACCACAGUGUGUGUGUGUGUGUAUGUAUGUAUGUAUGUGUGUAUGUAUGUAUGUAUGUAUGUGUGUCUGUCUUCUAGUACACAUACCAUAACAUAUGUGAUAUUGGCCAGAGGACAACAUAACACAGAAUGUUAGUCCUUAACUUUAAUUUAUUUAAGACACGGUCACUUCUUCACUUUUGAGUAUGGCAGGCUGCUCUAUGGGCUUCUGUGGAGUCUCCAGUCUCUGCUCCCAUCUUGCAAUAGAAGUACUUGGAUUAUAGCAGCAUGCUAACAGGUCCAAUCUUAUGUGGGGAUUCAAAUUGAUACCUUCACACUUGUGUGAUGAAUGCUCUCCCCUUCCUCCCACACCUUAAACCAUUCUCUUUAACCCUAAAAAUUUUGUCAGAAUCAGUUUAGAGGGAUUUUCUCCUGAGGCCAUAAUGGUAGUGCUCAUUUCUAAGCAGACCAUGGAUUUUUGUUUGAUUUCUUUUAUUCAAUGGAGAGAUGGUGACAGUAGAGUUGAUAUAAAAACUAUUUUAUCUUAGUUUCAGCUCUGUGGGAAGUAUAACAGUUCGAGUCUUAUUUAGGGAUCAGAAAUUAGAGUAUACAUAUGUAAGCCUAUAUUCGAGGCAGGAGGUUUGGGUAUCAGUUUAUACCAUGUCUCCUUCAUUAUUGCUGAAAGAAAAUCUGUUUGAACUUAUCAUCAAGCAGAAUCACAUACCGACAGUUCACAACCCCUAGCACAAACAUGUUCCCCAGUUACAAAAAUCUCUAUUAUCUUCAGCCACUUGAAACAAAACCAAUUGUCUUAGCCCAGAGUUCUGCAAUCUAAAGACCAAUGCUCUGGGCAUCAACCCCUUUGAUAUUCUCUUUAAAACUCUGUAAACUUUAGAUAAUGUGAGCUUUUUUGUUUUUUUUUUUUCCUCCAUUGGACAUAGGUGAAUAUUUUGAUUCAGUGGUCAGCAUUCCCAUUGCAUAAAUAAUCUGUUGUGGUAGGAGGAAAACAAGCAGAACUUUGUGUUUCUUACAUGGGAUUUAGGCCAGGAGUGAAGCAUUUUCUGGAGUGUUAUCCUGGGCAGAAGAACUUAGUGUCUGAAUACUCAAGGCCCCAAAGAAAAACAUUUCUACCCUUUUAGAUGGAACUUAUGUGAGGUCACUCUCUUAACCUUGAUGAACUCCAGCAUAUCAGGGGGAAAUGUUAUAAUUAAAAUCUCAUUUCACAGCAGCUGAUUAGGCUUUGAUUCACAAUUAUCCCGUCUUUCAAAAGCCUCGUCUAUCUGAGCAUUUGGAAAAUGUGAUAGCUUCAUUAUUUGUUAUAUUUCCAAAGUUAGAGCUUUAGAGGAGCGGCACAAACUUUCCUAAUCAUGCAGGAAGUCAUGAAUAAAACAUGCAUAUCCAGAAUUUUAAAUUAAAGUAAUUAGACCAUAUUAGAAUCC
rnacentral:lncRNA from 1 species